GCUCCCGUGGUCCAGCCCGGUCAACGAUUUUGCCCUUUCGAGGCAAAGACCCGAGUUCAAAUCUCGGCGGGAGCG
rnacentral:tRNA from 1 species